GAUGAACGCUGGCGGCGUGCCUAAUACAUGUAAGUCGAGCGAACAGACGAGGAGCUUGCUCCUCUGACGUUAGCGGCGGACGGGUGAGUAACACGUGGAUAACCUACCUAUAAGACUGGGAUAACUUCGGGAAACCGGAGCUAAUACCGGAUAACAUGUUGAACCGCAUGGUUCAACAGUGAAAGACGGUCUUGCUGUCACUUAUAGAUGGAUCCGCGCCGCAUUAGCUAGUUGGUAAGGUAACGGCUUACCAAGGCAACGAUGCGUAGCCGACCUGAGAGGGUGAUCGGCCACACUGGAACUGGGACACGGUCCAGACUCCUACGGGAGGCAGCAGUAGGGAAUCUUCCGCAAUGGGCGAAAGCCUGACGGAGCAACGCCGCGUGAGUGAAGAAGGUCUUCGGAUCGUAAAACUCUGUUAUUAGGGAAGAACAAAUGUGUAAGUAACUAUGCACGUCUUGACGGUACCUAAUCAGAAAGCCACGGCUAACUACGUG
rnacentral:rRNA from 1 species